rfam:Myotis davidii contig216351, whole genome shotgun sequence.
AGUGGUUCUCAGGUGACGCACUUCAGAAUUGGGCUCCCUCCUCUCUGGCUCUGGAUGCGUCAACUGAGAAAUGCA